GUUUCUGUGGCUCAGUUGGUAGAGCAUUGCACUAGCAAUUCAUAGGUCGUGGCUUCGAAUACACAAAAAUA